rnacentral:rRNA from 1 species
GGCCGCAAGGUUAAAACUCAAAUGAAUUGACGGGGGCCCGCACAAGCGGUGGAGCAUGUGGUUUAAUUCGAUGCAACGCGAAGAACCUUACCUACUCUUGACAUCCAGAGAAUUUAGCAGAGAUGCUGAAGUGCCUUCGGGAACUCUGAGACAGGUGCUGCAUGGCUGUCGUCAGCUCGUGUUGUGAAAUGUUGGGUUAAGUCCCGCAACGAGCGCAACCCUUAUCCUUUGUUGCCAGCGAU